rnacentral:lncRNA from 1 species
AUUUAAUUCUGCUGUGUUAGAAGGAUGCUGGGUGUCACAGUGUUUACAUAACAUUUAUUAAUUUAGCUGACACUCUUCUCCAAAACAACUUACAAUGUUAAGCUACCUACAUUUACGAAUUUAUACAGCCAGGUCAUUUUACUAGAGCAAUUUAUGGUAAGUAAUUCAACCCAAAAAUAACACAUGGUGUCAUGGAAUAUAUUAACCCUCUUGUGUAAGGGAUGGAUGUGCUUUUUUGAAGAAAGAUGGAAUGAGUUAACCGCAUGAAUGCUAUCUCCAGACAGACAAAACGGUCAGAUUUCAUGUGCAAGUUGCUUAAUCCCACUGCUGACACAAGCGGAAAUCGUAGGCAUUCCUCCUACAGCAGCACUGAGAGCAGCUCAAGAAGAGCACCAAGGAGGUCUUUGUGGAGAUCAGGACGCCAUUUAGUGGCACUGCAAGUGGAUGGACUGCUACAUGGGCCUCAGCUUCUACUUCACCUUUGUGGGCCUCCUGCUGAAAGGUUACAGAGGUACAGUCCCCAGCACAGCAGUGAGGACAAUCUGCAUUCUGCAGAUGCUGCUGGGUCUGCCGGGAAAUCACACAGCGUCGCCUACAGAGCAGGUGGAUGGGAAGUCUGCCGCGUGAUGCUACUCUGUGCCAGCUGCCCUUUCGACCCCGGGAUUCAUCACAUUUCUGAGGACAUGCCAUUUGUAUAACAAGCACAAAAACAGUGACUGCCUCCAGUGUUUGGUGUUCGAGCUCCGCUGUGGUGAUGAUGUCACCAGCUUGUUUCUGCUGCAUAUCUGUGUCUCACAGGAGGUUCACAGCUGUGGAGAACAUUCCCAUGGAGCUGUGCAAGCACAUGUGGUGGGGGAUCUUUCCUGGCUCCUUUAACCCAUGCGUCUGUCACAUUUCUAAAACUUUUUCACACACCAUCUUCACACACAAGUCCAUGAGCCUAGACCUAGGGCAGCCUUCAGAGGCCAACACCAGGAAGGUUCUAGGUACGAUCUCUGCCCAGUCGGGUGUCUGGCAACAUUUAACCUAGAACACUCAUGCCACAGGUGCACUUAGCUGCCCGGUUGUUGGGGGGGGCUGUUCCCCCAGCUGGCAGAUAGCUAUGUGACUUUGUGGCCUAAAAAGGACGCCAUGUGGAGCCUUAGGCAGGCAUGCAUUUCCAAACCAUCAGAAUAAAAACUUGAAGUGGCAAAAAAAGCCCCA